UACUUGGAUAUCUUAUAUUUAAAGUUUAAUUCUGAAGAAAUUAAUAAAGGGUAUGCCCUUCCAGGUAU
rnacentral:tRNA from 1 species